UACGUAGGGGGCAAGCGUUGUCCGGAUUUAUUGGGCGUAAAGAGCGUGUAGGCGGCCAGGUAGGUCUGCUGUGAAAACUCGAGGCUUAACCUCGAGCUGUCGGCGGAAACCAUCUGGCUAGAGUCCGGAAGAGGAGAAUGGAAUUCCCGGUGUAGCGGUGAAAUGCGCAGAUAUCGGGAAGAACACCCGUGGGGAAGGCGGUUCUCUGGGACGGUACUGACGCUGAGACGCGAAAGCGUGGGGAGCGAACAGG
rnacentral:rRNA from 1 species